rnacentral:rRNA from 1 species
GAAAGGCAGGGGCUCAACCUCUGGACUGCGUUGGAUACUUCCGUGCUUGAGGACUGGAGGGGAGACUGGAAUUCACGGUGUAGCAGUGAAAUGCGUAGAUAUCGUGAGGAAGACCGGUGGCGAAGGCGAGUCUCUGGACAGAUCCUGACGCUGAGGCACGAAGGCUGGGGGAGCGAACAGGAUUAGAUACCCUGGUAGUCCCAGCAGUAAACGAUGUGAGCUUGAUGUGGGGGGAUUCGACCCCUUCCGUGUCGAAGCUAACGCGAUAAGCUCACCGCCUGAGGAGUACGGCCGCAAGGCUAAAACUCAAAGAAAUUGACGGGGACCCGCACAAGCGGUGGAGUAUGUGGCUUAAUUCGAUGCAACGCGAAGAACCUUACCUGGCCUUGACAUGCAUUGUGUCGUCGGUGAAAGCCGGCUAGUCCUGGAAACAGGACGCUUUGCACAGGUGCUGCAUGGCUGUCGUCAGCUCGUGUCGUGAGAUGUUGGGUUAAGUCCCGCAACGAGCGCAACCCUUGUGGUCAGUUACUAACCGGCUUAGCCGGAGGACUCUGGCCAGACUGCCCUGUCAAACGGGGAGGAAGGUGGGGACGACGUCAAGUCAGUAUGGCCCUUAUGGCCAGGGCUGCACACGUACUACAAUGCCCGGUACAAUGUGAACCGAAACCGCGAGGUGGAGGAAAUCGCUCUUGAAAACCGGGCCCAGUUCGGAUUGGAGUCUGCAACUCGACUCCAUGAAGUCGGAAUCGCUAGUAAUGGCG